AAAUCAUGGUUGGGGCACUGUCUUAAUAAACUCUUGAAUUUGUCUCAUGCUUCAAAUAGUGAUUCUCCAUCUUCCUGAGCAAAACUUGUAAUGCGCUUCCUCAUAU